rnacentral:rRNA from 1 species
AGAGUUUGAUCAUGGCUCAGGAUGAACGCUAGCUACAGGCUUAACACAUGCAAGUCGAGGGGCAGCAUCAUCAAAGCUUGCUUUGAUGGAUGGCGACCGGCGCACGGGUGAGUAACACGUAUCCAACCUGCCGACAACACUGGGAUAGCCUUUCGAAAGAAAGAUUAAUACCGGAUGGUAUAGUUUUCCCGCAUGGGAUGAUUAUUAAAGAAUUUCGGUUGUCGACGGGGAUGCGUUCCAUUAGGCAGUUGGCGGGGUAACGGCCCACCAAACCUACGAUGGAUAGGGGUUCUGAGAGGAAGGUCCCCCACAUUGGAACUGAGACACGGUCCAAACUCCUACGGGAGGCAGCAGUGAGGAAUAUUGGUCAAUGGACGAGAGUCUGAACCAGCCAAGUAGCGUGAAGGAUGACUGCCCUAUGGGUUGUAAACUUCUUUUAUACGGGAAUAAAGUGAGCCACGUGUGGCUUUUUGUAUGUACCGUAUGAAUAAGGAUCGGCUAACUCCGUGCCAGCAGCCGCGGUAAUACG